rnacentral:hammerhead_ribozyme from 1 species
AUUCAGUUGACGAGUCUCAAACAGGAUGAAACACGCGUUCUGGAU